rnacentral:rRNA from 1 species
CUCGAUAACGAACGAGACCUUAACCUGCUAAAUAGUUAGGCCAACGUUUGUUGGUCGUCAACUUCUUAGAGGGACUAUUGACUAUUAGUCAAUGGAAGUUUGAGGCAAUAACAGGUCUGUGAUGCCCUUAGAUGUUCUGGGCCGCACACGCGCUACACUGAUCAAGUCAACGAGUUUACAACCUUGGCCGGAAGGUCUGGGUAAUCUUUUGAAACUUGAUCGUGCUGGGGAUAGUCCAUUGCAAUUAUUGCUCUUCAACGAGGAAUCCCUAGUAAGCGCAAGUCAUCAGCUUGCGUUGAUUACGCCCCUGCCCUUUGCACACACCGCCCGUCGCUAAUACCGAUUGAAUGGUUG